UUCUAAAAGACUCAGUCCCAGUGUGUGAGAGAACUGAGGUCUUAAACUGCUUUAGCAAACAUUUUAUAUCAUCUGGCUCACUGUUUGAGUCUUCUGGACUGACUUCUGUGACGUCUUGUCCAGAUCCUCCAGUGUUUUCUGGAGACCCUUUUACUUUUGUUCCCUUUACGGUACAACAAGUGCCCUUAAAGCCCUGGAUCAUAGAAAGCCCCCAGGACCAGACAUGAUAGAGGCCUACUUUUUAAAAAAGGCUGCUGAUUUUGUAGCACAGCCUCUUACAAUUCCUUUUAAUCUUUCGAUACAAAAUAAAGAGGUUCCUUUAGUCUGGAAGUCAGCUUUUGUUAUUCCCUUAUUAAAAGGAGGUGACCCAGCUGUUUUAACUAACUACAGGCCAAUAUCAAAUUUGUGUGUUUUGUCAAAGAUUCUUGAAUCUCUUGUUUGCGAUCAACUAAAAGAGUUUUUAUAUUCUAAUGAACUUCUCUCAAAACUGCAAUCAGACUUCAGGAAAAAAGCACAGCACCGUCACUGUGGCCACUAAGGUGAUAAAUUAUAUAAUUGUUGCUCUUGAUCAAAAGCAGUACUGUGCAUCUCUUUUUAUUGAUCAAAAGCUUUUGAAACUGUGGACCAUGCUGUCUUAAAGUACAGACUUUUUUGUUUGGGAAUGUCUGAUCAUGUGGUUUCCUGGUUGCCAAAUUAUUUAAGUAACAGGACUCAGUGUAUUAAAUAUGAUGGCUUGCCUUCUGAUUUUAUGAAUGCACACAAGGAGGUGCCAUAGGGUUCAAUCUUGGGUCCCCUCCUGUUCAUUAUGUACAUUAAUGACUUAGGAAAAAAACGUGUCAGAUGCUAAUAUGCAUUUUUAUGCCGAUGACACAAUUAUUUAUUGUUUUGGAUCGACUGUUGCUAAAGCUGUAGAAUCUCCGCAGAGAGCUUUUGAUGUUGUCCAGCACACAUUCCUGCAGCUAAAGUUGGUUCUCAAUGCUGAUAAGACUAAACUAAUGCUAUUUGGAAACACCAAAAAGGUGCCUCUGACGAUCCCCACUGUGUCCACUUUUGAAGGAAAUAUUAUAGAGAUGGUUCACACAUACAAAUAUCUUGGGUUCUUGAUUGAUGACUCCCUCAGUUUUAAGCCCCACAUCCAAAACCUUGUGAAAAAACUUUAACUUAAACUGGGCUUCUUUUUUAGAAACAAAAUAAUUUUUUCUUUUACGGUUAAAAAGCGGCUUGUCACAGCGACAUUUUUAUACAUUUUAGAUUAUGGAGACUUGUUAUAUAUGAAUGCCUCAGCACAAUAUCUUAAAAAAUUGAUGCUGUCUAUCAUGCUUCUCUGAGGUUUGUUACUAACUGUAAAGCCUCAACUCAUCAUUGUGAUCUGUACACUCGUGUGGGAUGGCCUUCGUUGUCCACCAGGAGGCUGGGACAUUGGUACACUUUUAUUUAUAAGGUUUUGCUUGGGCUGCUACCAUCUUACAUCUGUAAUCUAAUCACACAAAAAAGCGUUGAUUCACACUCAUUGCGUUCAAAUGAUUGUUUCUUGCUCUCUGUCCCAUUUCUCUGUACAGAAUUGGGGCUUUUGUUUACUCUGCCCCAUCUACAUGGAACAUGUUGCAAAAAGUCUGGAAGUUAACUGAACUGAUCCCAUUGACCGCCUUUAAAUCCAGAUUGAGGGCAUUAGAAAUUACUUCCUUGAAUUGCGAAUGUUUUUAAUAGUGAUUGUUUGUAUUGUGUUUUAACUGUGUAACUCUAUGUAAAUGUACACUUUUUGCUGCCUCUUGGCCAGGACUCCCUUGAAAAAGAGGUUUUUAAUCUCAAUGGGACUUUCCUG